UAUCACAAAAAUAUAUCUUUUAGUAAAAUUAACCAAAGUCAGAGCAGAGAUGAAGAUAGGCUCCUUGCAUGACAUACAGUACUAUGAAGUGCUGACAACCAGGACAGGGGAAAUGAGCCAAACCACAAUCUUUGAGGACCGCUUCACAUACCCACCAUGCGCUGAUUCUCUGGCAGAGCACCCGUACCACUUGCCCAGAACAGCUCUAUAUAACCGAUAAAGAAAGAAGUACCCGGCACCAUGCUGAUGGCUGGGCUGGCUCCAGCAGGGAAAGGCCAUGCAUGGGGUCAAGGAAGGAGGAGUCUGCUUUUCAGACAGGUUGAGGACAUGAACACCAAAUACCGGAAUAUAUUUUACUCCAACAAGAAGCAGAGGACAGUUACCUGACGCUCAGCUGUCCGGAGAUGGGCAGAGCUGGAUUGAAAUGCCGGAGGAAAUAAGGUGUGUGGCUGAUGUCAGCUUUUGCUGGAAGACGCGCCCUGACAGGGUGCAUGAAUACAGAAAGUGACAGCAAAGGAAGUUCUGCAGACCUGCUCUGAGGCUUUGUGACACUGGCCAGGUAGCGUUAAAGAUG
ensembl:lncRNA